rnacentral:rRNA from 1 species
AUUGAACGCUGGCGGCAGGCCUAACACAUGCAAGUCGAACGAGUGGCGGACGGGUGAGUAAUGUCUGGGAAACUGCCUGAUGGAGGGGGAUAACUACUGGAAACGGUAGCUAAUACCGCAUACCAUCAGAUGUGCCCAGAUGGGAUUAGAUAGGUGGUGGGGUAACGGCUCACCAAGGCGACGAUCCCUAGCUGGUCUGAGAGGAUGACAAGGCACACCGGAACUGAGACACGGUCCAGACUCCUACGGGAGGCAGCAGAGGAGAAAAGUGCACAAUGGGCGCAAGCCUGAUACGGCCAUGCCGCGUGUAUGGAGAAGGCCUUCGGGUUGUAAAGUACUUUCAGCGGGGAGGCGUUACCCGCAGAAGAAGCACCGGCUAACUCCGUGCCAGCAGCCGCGGUAAUUC